AAGUCGAGCGGAUCUUUGGGAGCUUGCUCCCAAAGGUUAGCGGCGGACGGGUGAGUAACACGUGGGCAACCUGCCUGUAAGACUGGGAUAACUUCGGGAAACCGGAGCUAAUACCGGAUAACAUAAGAGACCACAUGGUCUCCUAUUAAAAGAUGGCCUCGGCUAUCACUUACAGAUGGGCCCGCGGCGCAUUAGCUAGUUGGUGAGGUAACGGCUCACCAAGGCGACGAUGCGUAGCCGACCUGAGAGGGUGAUCGGCCACACUGGGACUGAGACACGGCCCAGACUCCUACGGGAGGCAGCAGUAGGGAAUCUUCCGCAAUGGACGAAAGUCUGACGGAGCAACGCCGCGUGAGCGAAGAAGGCCUUCGGGUCGUAAAGCUCUGUUGUUAGGGAAGAACAAGUAUCGUUCGAAUAGGGCGGUACCUUGACGGUACCUAACCAGAAAGCCACGGCUAACUACGUGCCAGCAGCCGCGGUAAUACGUAGGUGGCAAGCGUUAUCCGGAAUUAUUGGGCGUAAAGCGCGCGCAGGCGGUCCUUUAAGUCUGAUGUGAAAGCCCACGGCUCAACCGUGGAGGGUCAUUGGAAACUGGGGGACUUGAGUGCAGAAGAGGAGAGCGGAAUUCCACGUGUAGCGGUGAAAUGCGUAGAGAUGUGGAGGAACACCAGUGGCGAAGGCGGCUCUCUGGUCUGUAACUGACGCUGAGGCGCGAAAGCGUGAGGAGCGAACAGGAUUAGAUACCCUGGUAGUCCACGCCGUAAACGAUGAGUGCUAAGUGUUAGAGGGUUUCCGCCCUUUAGUGCUGC
rnacentral:rRNA from 2 species